rnacentral:rRNA from 1 species
GACGAACGCUGGCGGCGUGCCUAAUACAUGCAAGUUGAGCGCUGAAGGUUGGUACUUGUACCAACUGGAUGAGCAGCGAACGGGUGAGUAACGCGUGGGGAAUCUGCCUUUGAGCGGGGGACAACAUUUGGAAACGAAUGCUAAUACCGCAUAAAAACUUUAAACACAAGUUUUAAGUUUGAAAGAUGCAAUUGCAUCACUCAAAGAUGAUCCCGCGUUGUAUUAGCUAGUUGGUGAGGUAAAGGCUCACCAAGGCGAUGAUACAUAGCCGACCAGAGAGGGUGAUCGGCCACAUUGGGACUGAGACACGGCCCAAACUCCUACGGGAGGCAGCAGUAGGGAAUCUUCGGCAAUGGACGAAAGUCUGACCGAGCAACGCCGCGUGAGUGAAGAAGGUUGUCGGAUCGUAAAACUCGGUUGGUAGAGAAGAACGUUGGUGAGAGUGGAAAGCUCAUCAAGUGACGGUAACUACCCAGAAAGGGACGGCUAACUACGUG